rnacentral:ncRNA from 1 species
AAAAAGGCUUUGAAAAGAAGAAGUAGCAGCCGCGACACCCAUACAGAGAGCAGCCGGCAGGUGAGAGGCGCAUGAAGGAAGUGGUUUUGCGAAUACAUCUUGGAGCCUCACACCGAAAAUGUACGGACAGCAUUCCAUACAUGAGUAGGCUGUGACGUGGCGGCAUACGUUACAAUGCUUAAGCUGUGCAUGUGCAGCUUGCAAAGGCCGGCAGUGUGAAUUGCCGGUGAAAAAAGGUGGUACCGCGGAAGAUUUCGCCCUUGUC